GUUUAUGUCUCCGGGAUAUUCAGGGUCUUUGGGACGAUUUUGCAAGUUUCAAGUAUUACGGACUUUUGCAUUUUUGUAACGAUGGUUUUAUUCGUUAUAUUCAGUCUUUCCAGGUAUCCUGCAAGCUUCUUGGUAACUAGCCCAGUGGCCGAUAUAAUUACAGGGAUAACAUGUACUGCUUUUAGGGUUGUGGUCCGAGGGAUGUGAGACGUCGAUGAAAUACGCCUUUUUAUUAGCCUUAUCCAGCAGAAUAAUGUCUGGUCUAUUGCUGGCUAUUGGUUUAUCUGUUACUAUAGGUGUAUCCCAGUAUAGCCGAUAAUUUUCGUUCUCAAGAACUGGAGCAGGUUCGACUUCUGCGUUUCUGUUGCUGUGAGCAGUCAAUUCUUCAUCAACCUCAGCGACCCCAUCAGG